rnacentral:rRNA from 1 species
AUAACUACGGCCAUGCCACCCUGAACAAAGCCCGAUCCGGUCUGAUCUCGGAAGCUAAGCAGGGUCUGGCCUGGUUAGUACUUAGAUGGGAGACCACCUAGGAAGACCAGGUGCUAUUUAUU